UACGGUCAUAUCACGUUGAAACACCAGUUCUCGUACGAACACCGAAGUUAAGCAAUAUGGAACCUGGUCGACAUCUAGAUGGGUGACCGCUUGGCAAUAUCAGGUGCUGUAAG